GAUGAACGCUGGCGGCGUGCUUAAUACAUGCAAGUCGAACGGAAAGGCGAUGCUUUUGCGGGGCGCUCGAGUGGCGAACGGGUGAGUAACACGUGUGGAACCUGCCCUUGACUUUGGGAUAACUUCAGGGAACUGGGGCGAAUACCGGGUAGGAGCUCUUGCUGCAUGGGGGGGGUUGGAAAGUUUCGGCCGUGGGGGAUGGACUCGCGGGUUAUCAGCUUGUUUGGGGGGUAGGGGCUUACAAAGGGUUCGACGGGUAGCCGGCCUGGGAGGGUGACCGGCCACAUUGGGACUGAGGUACGGCCCAGACUCCUACGGGAGGCAGCAGUGGGGAGUAUUGCGCAAUGGGCGGAAGCCUGUUGCAGCAGCGCCGCGUGCGGGAUGACGGCCUUCGGGUUAUAAACCACUUUCGCCUUUGACGAGGCGUGCGUGACGGUAAUGGGUAAAAAAGCAACGGCUAACUACGUG
rnacentral:rRNA from 1 species